rnacentral:rRNA from 1 species
UACGAAGGGUGCAAGCGUUACUCGGAAUUACUGGGCGUAAAGCGUGCGUAGGCGGUUUGUUAAGUCCGCUGUGAAAACCCAGGGCUCAACCCUGGGCCUGCGUUCGAUACGGGCGGACUAGAGUUCGGUAGGGGAGACUGGAAUUCCGGGGUGUAGCGGUGGAAUGCGUAGAGAUCCGGAAGAACACCGGUGGCGAAGGCGGUCUGCUGGGCAGUAGCUGACGCUGAGGCGCGACAGCGUGGGGAGCAAACAGG